GGUCCCUUAGCUCAACCGGAUAGAGCAACUGCCUUCUAAGCAGUAGGUUGUAGGUUCGAGUCCUACAGGGAUCGCCA
rnacentral:tRNA from 2 species